rnacentral:rRNA from 1 species
AUGUUACCUAAGAAGAAGCAAUUGUCGGGUGCUGAAAAAAGGAGGAAAAAGAAAGAAAGUGGUUUGAAAAUUCUACCACUGAAGGGUUCUUUGAAUAAGUUCUUUACAUCUUCAAGCAAUGUUGAUGUCAGUGAAGAACAAGGGCAAGAAACUACUUCUAAGCAUGAAAAUUCAGAUGUUGAGGUGAAUGAAGAUGGUGCGAGUACAGGGGAGCAAAUAAAUUUUGAAGUUGAUGCUGACAGUACAAUGGAGGAGGAAAAUUUGCAGCCUUCCUCUAAUGAUGAACAGGAAGAUUCCCUUUCAUUUAUUUUUUAUCCAAGAACAUGGGAAGUUCUUGACAAUAGCAAAAGGGAUAUUUUAAUUGAGAAGGGACCUAUUAGAGUACCGGAUCUGGAGUUCGAGAAAGACACCAUUGGUAGACACUUUUCAUAUGCUUUUUACUCCAGGAAGUUAAGUAAUGGUGAGUUUGUUGACAGAAAGUGGUUGGUUUACCACAAAGGUGCAAACAAAGUAUAUUGUUUUUGUUGCAAGUUGUUCAAAUCAAAACUGAGCAAGUCUAUGCUAGCAUCUGAUGGAUUGAAUGACUGGAAGCAUUUGAGUGUGCGUCUCAAAGAUCAUGAGAAUAGUGUUGAGCAUUUAACAAACAUGAAUACAUGGAAUGAAGUUAGGUUGAGACUAAGCAAAAAUCAGACAAUUGAUAAUGAUAUGCAAAGGGGGGUUGCAAAGGAGAAGGAGCGUUGGAGACAAGUUCUGGUAAGAAUAGCUUCUGUUGUGAAGUUUCUAGCAAAACAUACUUUGGCUUUUCGUGGAUCAAAUGAGAGGUCGUAUCAAGAUAAUAAUGGUAAUUUUUUGGGCACGAUUGAAAUGAUUGCUGAAUUUGAUCCUGUUAUGCAUGAACACAUCCGGCGUAUUCAAAAUAGUGAAAUCCAUCAUCACUAUCUUGGCCAAAAAAUCCAGAACGAGUUGAUCUCAGUUCUUGCUGAUGCCGUGAGGAAGGUUAUUUUAAAGAUCAUCAAAGAUGCCAAGUAUUUUUCAGUUAUUUUGGAUUGUACCCCGGAUGUGAGCCAUGAAGAAAAAAUGACUCUCAUUGUGCGUUGUGUCAAUAUGUCAAGCAACCUUCCGAGAGUGGAGGAGUUUUUCCUAGAGUUCCUAAAGGUUGAGGACACAUCGGGGUUGGGGCUUUUGAAGGUAUUGAUGGAUACAUUGAGUUCUUUUGAUUUGAAUGCUGCUGAUGUGAGAGGUCAAGGUUAUGACAAUGAUUCCAACAUGAAAGGACAAUACCAAGGUGUUCAGAGUCGCUUCCUUAAAGAAAACCCCAAAGCAUUGUAUAUGCCAUGUGCAUGUCAUAGUUUGAAUCUCACUCUUUGUGAUAUGGCAAAAUCUUGCAAACAAGCUAUUACAUUCUUUGGUAUUAUACAACGGAUAUACGUGUUGUUUUCACGUUCUACUAAAAGGUGGAAGAUUUUACUUGACAAUCUUCCAAAAGGAACAAAACUAACUCUCAAGCCUUUGUCCAGUACUCGUUGGGAGAGUUGA